AGCCCCGUAGUGUAGUGGCCAAUCAUCCGUCCCUUUGGAGGACGGGACCCAGGUUCGAAUCCUGGCGGGGCUA
rnacentral:tRNA from 2 species